GCUGCUUCCAGGAAGAGCGAGAGGGACGUUGCUGCAGGAGCCAACUACUGAAGCCGUGGGUCGUCGUGCGAGAGUGUUUAAGUGGGAUUUAUCUGCGGAAUUGGACAUGUUGGAUGGCGAGCUAGAGUCUGAAGCUUUAUGCCUGGAACCGAACCAACCGAACUGAAUCCACCCAACCGAGCCGGGCGGGUAGGAGGCUCCUCAGCAGCCGCCCUGUUUUUUCCCUUUGGUUUUUCAUGACGCAACAAGUUCAUUUCUGUCCUCCCUGAACUUUCAAAUUUACCCGUUACCUUCACUGGACACUGCCACCACAACGUGGACUUUGCGAGGUCGUUUAAUGAACUGUGUUGCGCCUAUACCAUUCUUGGUAAAAACAAGGACUGAAUCAAGUACAUUGUAAAUAUUGAACGUUCUGUAAUUUAUGUUGAAAAUGUGAAUGGCCAUUCGAAUUUACAUGUCUUUUUGUUGUUUAUUUUUCCUAUAAUUCUUUAAUAUAAUU